GGCCCCGACCUCCGGGAGGGAGUAAAGGCAGCUACAAAGACGACGCCGGCUGCGCUCGGGGGACCAGAGGGAGGGAGGCUGCGGACGAGUGCGGGGAGGAGUUUGCGAUGGGAGGCGCUUGCAGGGGCUCCCCCAGUUCUGCGCUGUGAGCCGGGGCACAAAGAGCCCUCUGCACUGGCGCCGCAAGACCGCGGACGGGAGCUGGAGGCAUCUCCCUGCCCACCCAGUCUUCCAGACACAUUCACGUGGCCACCAUGACCUUGACAGCAUCAGAGGAGUAACCCAGCCCGCUCCUAAUCCCUGGCAACCGCAAAUCUACCUUCUGACUGUAGAGCGUGGCCUUUUCUGGACAUUUCGUGUAAAUGGAAUCAUACAGCAUGUGGUCUCUUGUGCCUGGCUUCUUUCACCCCAGACUGCAGCAAGUUCCUGGGACAGAGGAGAAAGAAGGGAAUUUCCGGGUUCUUCGAGAUGUUCAUGAUCACCCUGGGAAGGAGCCUUGCAGAUAAGUAUUCAAAAGUACCAGCCCCCAGCCUACCAGCCUGCCCUCUCCUGGUCGGUGCAGGGAAGUCCAGUAUCCCAGAAUCCCCAAGGUGGGGGAAGAAAUCAGCUAUGUGGCUCACUUACUUUCCUACCUCCGAGGCCACAAAGAGCUCGUCCCCAUUUUGUGGGGCCCCAGAAAGUAACUUUCACAGCCCACUUUUGCAUCAGGGCUACAAUUGUAUAAACUCCACUCUCAGUAAUUUCUGAGGACCUGAGCUGAAUUACUUCAUCUUGAGUACCUGUAGACCGGGCAUCAGAAGGAGGCUGGGGACUCCGGGUGAUUUGGGCUGGCCCUUCCCGUCUCAGUUCUGGCCCUUUGACAUCUUCUGAAACUUGGCUAGGGCCCCUUUGCGUGGCAAUCAAGCGGGGACCUUGGCACCGUGACCCUUGGGCACAUGCUUGGCAGUGUGAGGGUCUGAGUACCUCUCCAGCUCUGGACCCGUGAGCCAAGUCCGGGAGCUGACAGCAAGCUCUGAAAAUAUGCUGAGAGGACCCCUGACUCCCAGGCCCAGGUCUGCCAGUUGAUGAAAAGAGCUUAGCUGUCACUGAAAGCAAACCCUGGGAGACGAUGCUCAAGGUCAGGAUGAGUGGGCAUUCUCUGGUCUUCUCAGACUGGUAACACGGGGGUGGUCAUCAAAGAUUCCCAGCCCACCCUCUGGCUCUGCAAGCUUCCUCUGGUGCCUGGGGCCUCAGAAAAGAGAUGGGGAGGGGGACGGGGGCGCGGAGCAGAAAGGUAACUGAGUCUGAGCGGAAGGGCCUCAGACUCAGGGUUGUUACCGUGCGCCGUGGGUAGUGUCAGGACCAGAAGGGCCCUGUGGCCCAGAGAGAGGGCCGGAUUCCCAGGGCUGCACAGGAUGGCAGGGCUGGGAUCAGAGCUCUGGAUGCUGGCUCUGUUCAGUGCUCACUUGAACUGUUGUCAAGCUGAGUCUGUCCUGCCUUCUCCAGGGGUCACAUUCUGCGGUUGGACGGCAACAGGGAGGUGGGCAAAGGCAGCAAAGGAGGGUAUUCGGGGGUGGGAGGAAGGGAGGUAGGGGGCCGGUGUAUCUGGGCCCAGCCUCCCUAGCUCCUGGGGCCUUCCUGUCAGCAGAGUUCUGGCCCGGCCCGGGAUGGGGAGGGGGCCUGGGCGCGGUUUUCUCCUGCGCCGUGGUUGGCUCUUUUGUCUUCCAGGAUGGGCCUGCAGGGAUCUACAUGGGGGAGGAGCUGGGAGCUGAGCUUGGGCUGCCAACGUGUUGGCUGGGCGCUGCCAGCACAAAUGUGGACCAAGCGCCUUCUCCCAGAGAGAUGCUCAGGCCCCAGAGGGCAACAUGAGAUGUGAUUCCGCCCUCUCUGAUCUUCAGGCGGCUCUGCCCUGGCUGCAUCUCAGGACUCCUGGCCUGGUCUUCUCUUUGGAGCCCGGGUGACUCUAGACUCUGGCCACGGUGACAUAGGAAGCAGCCUUCUGGACAAUUCUGGAACCCUGGACAAUUCCCUGAAGACCUCAUCCUUCCUGACUCCCAGGAUGGAGCCUGCCAUGGGUACAGGCCCCUCUGGGAUGGUGCUCAGCUGAGAUCAGGACCUGGCUCUGGAGGACAGCUCGAGGGAUGUGAGGGAGGCCGGCAGCCCACCGUCCCCACUGUGUCUGUCUGGACCUGCCUGCUGGGCCCUCUGUCCAGGCCUGGAGGCCCUUCCUGACCCCGAGUGGACCUGAUUUCUCUUGGCAGCCCUGCCGGAGACCAGAGCUCAGCCUGGGCCAGGGCCUGACUGACCACACCUCGCCAAGGCUGGGUCUUAAAGGACCUUAUAGGACAGGGGCAGGAUCACAGGACUGGGUGUCAAAGAGGAGCUGCCGGUGGGAGGGAGGGUGGACGCAGCUCCCGGGGCGCCGCCGGCUGGGUCUGCCCUGCGCCGUUGGCCAUGUGAGUGAGUGACGCCCAUUCUUGUGGGGGCUUCUUGGAUGGGGCUUUCCCGCGCUUCUGCUCUCCCGGAUGGUGACCGGGGCGGGGGGCAGCCUGGGCCUUCCCCUUGAGUUGUGGAGCUCUGGGAGGGGCAGCUGGAGGGGUAGAGCUAUCCUGGAUGGAGAGAGUUUCCGGAGGAUGAGGAGACCCAGGCUGGGGAGGCUCGCCAGAAGGAGACAGAUACUGAGCCUUGCUCUCGCCUUCCAAAGGGAAUGGUCUGGAAUCAGCCUCACCCCAAGGCUUGAGGGAUCACCCCGGCCGUAUCUCAGAUUCCUGCUCCUUAUCACACUCCUGUCCUUGGGGAGCAGGGGCAGGCAGGGCAGGCUCCACACACAUCAGGCAGCUCCCCCAUCACGUGGCUGCGGCUGCGGCUGCGGGCUCACUGGCCUGCCUGCCUCCCUGUUCUCCACUCCCUCCAGCUCCUUAAGAGGGGCUGGUCCCAGUGCUCACACAGGAGCAGCUGUGGCCUUCCUUAGGCAAGUCUAAGAGCCCAAUGUCCUUUUCUGGGGGUGGGGAGGGGACCUGGGUGAGUCAGCUUGGGCUGCCAUUAACGGAAUACCAUGCGUGGAGGGCUGAACCGGCAGAAAUGGAUUUUCUCACAGUUCUGGGGGCUGAAGGUACAAAACCAAGGGGCCAGGGAUGGUUUCUGGUGAGGCUUCUCUCCUUGGCUCACAGGUAGAAACACACACACACACACACACACACACACACACACACACACACACACAGAGGGGGAGGGAGGAAGAGAGAGGGAGAGAAAUAGCUAGCUAGCUAGUGUCUCUUCUUCUUCCUAUAAGGACACCAGUCCUAUGGGAUCAGGGUCCCAUCCUUAUGACCUCAUUUAGCCUUAAUUAUCUCCUUAAAAGGCCUAUCUCCAAACACAGUCACGUUGGGAGUUAUAGCUUCAACCUAUGAAUUUAGAGGAGACACAAUUCAGUCCAUAGUAGGUGGUCACCACAAGCAUGGAAAGCUGGUGUCAUCUCCCCUUUAGAAUUCCUGCCCCCAAAAGGGAGGGGGUGGAGGGGCAGAGGUGUGGGCAAUAGAGACAGUAUUGGGGGGUAACGUGCUAGGGUGGCCCCGGGUGCCUUGGGGAGACAGAACCGGCCAGACCCAGUGCAGCGAGGAGGAGCUCCCGGGAGAGGGGUGUCUUGGGAAGAUCUUGGGCUUUGGAGCCAGAGGGUGUGCAUUUUGCUGUACCACCCAGUCACCUCACCCCUGUGAGUCUGAUUUCUGCUCUGAAAUGAGCCAUCUGCUCACUGUAGGGGCACAGGGAAAAAUCGUGAAAUCACGUGUCUGGCACAGCGACUGACUCUUAGUAGGUGCUCAAUUAACGCUCCUCUGGGAGUUUACAUGUAGUUUACAUCUAUUUUGGGCCCUCUGGGCGGUAAGCCCAGCAUCUUUGAUCCAGAGGCAUUUCUGACUAGUCCUCCCUCUCUUGUAUUCUUAAUACCUCUCCCUAAUCAGAUCAAGGAAUCGGUGGCACUGCAUGGCCUCCCUAGUAGCUCCAAAUGCUUCUUGGGGAAUUUAUUAUCUACUCUUCUCAUCAGGAUUGAGCACCUAAUGUGAGCCCUUCCCUGUGUGACUCGCUUGAGGGGAAUUUAAGUGAAGUUACGGCCCUGAUUCAAACCUUCAGGAUUGCACAGCCAUGCUGAAUGGGAGAAAACCAGCUCACACAGAGAACUGGAGGAUGGGGCAGGAAACAGUCUACUGAGGCACAGGUUCUAAGUACUUGGGUGUGUGGGAGUAAGAUCCCAGAGGAGGCUGGAAAGACUUCCCAGCGAGGCUGAACUAAUCAGGACCUUGGAGGAUGAGAAAGAGGUGGCUUAGCUGAGAGCCUCAGGGAGAAAUGAGUGCAGAUAGUCCCAAAGUAAGUUCUAGGAAAUGUCAUUGCUCUUACAAAAAAAAAAAAAAAAAAAAAAAAAAAAAGUUCAAAUUCGGUAGGUUUCUGUAGUGCAGGACUUAUCAGAGCCUUUAUAAGUGCUGCUGGGUAUUGUGAAUAUUCAAGGACAGAUAGAGGAUUAAGCGUUUACUCCCCAAAGUUUACUGGCAACAGAACCCUUUUCUUCUAGAGCAUCAGUUGGAACUGUUGGAUCCUAGGCUGCGGUUUCUGUGGGAAAACUGCAACUGUGAUAAAAGAUGACAAAACUAGGGCACACUCAGCUGCUUCGCAGCAUCAGCUGGAAAGGCAGCCCUUUCCUUGGGGCCAGGAAGUCUGAACUUGGUGCUGGGGGUCAGGCGAGCUCUAUGCAGUUUCAGUGUUGGGGGGAGGGCAGGCCAGGGGCUGGAGUAACCACAGGUUUGGCGGUGAUGGAGGAGCUGUCCACUGGACACAGUGGCUCCGGGGCAUCAGGCCUUUUGUGGGAAUAUGCUGGUGUGUGCACAUGAGUGUGUACGAGUGUGUGUGUGCACCUGAGUGUGACAGGACCCAGCCUUCCGGGAAGGGGAUGACCAGAACCAGGCAGGGGGUUUCCAGCUGGAAGGAGCAGCGUCCAUUUUCAGGGGAACUGAAGUGUCUGGGGGAGUGCCCCGGAGACCCAUGGCUGAGAAGUAGGGAAGAAAAAUUUAUGGGGGCAGGGUCUAAGUGGAUAGUUUUGAUUCUGGGGUGGGGCUGAGGAGCUUGGAGGCAGACCCCCUGCCCUGGUCAGGCCCAGCUCCCUGGCUGGUUGGGGGCGGGAGGCCUCUGGAGCUGCAGCUGGAGGGGCUGGGGGCAGUGUUGCAUGGUGUGAUUAACCUACUAACCCAGGGCUCAGCCGGGACGCUGUGGCGUGUGACGAGGUGCCUGGCCUUCUGCCAACCGACUAACCCACUAACCAGGCCCGAGCAUGCCCUACUAACCCCCCGCAGCCAGACCCUACUAACCUUGCAGCUCACGGGCCUUUCAAGGGGCUGGGAUGUGGGGGCAGACGAGGCUCCGGAAGGCCCUGCCCGUGGCCUGGGAUCUCUGUGCAGACCCACACUGCAGGACAGGGCAUGCAAAUCAGACUUGCCAGCUCUGCCACUUCCCGCUGGGUGACUUGAGCAAGUCACUUGCCCUCUCUGAACCCCGGUUUCCUCAGCAGUAGAAUGAGUGGCCUGAUCCUCACCCACACGUUGCAGUGAGGAUUCCCAGGAAGAUAAAGCUUUUGACAGAGGGCAGAUACUGAAUACAUAUCUGGAUAUGUAUGAGGGUCGGGGUGGGAGACUCGGAAAACCUGCCCACUCAUGUCCCAGGGCAGGCCCUGGUCCCUCUGGGUGGUCUGCACACAGACCCCUCUGCCUGGGGCCAGACACUCGCUUUGAACCCCUAACCAUCUCUUCCCCACACUUCCUCCUCAGCUUUCUUCCCGUAGGCAGCUCUUUUGUUCAAUUACUAACCCAUCUAACCCCAGGGGGGCCUCAACUGCACCCCGACCACCCCUUAACAAACUAAUUGACCUGUGUGCAUUCUUCUUUUCUCCUAGUGCCUCCCGUGUGUGUCUGCUGAGAUGCCCCUGUCCGCUGGUGCUGUGCUCUGACUUACUAACCCAGCCCCUACUAACCCUGUUUUCUCUUCUUACUAACCCCAGCCCUGCCGAGCUCUGGGCGCCCCUGGGGGCUGGUCCCCCUCCUUUUGGCAAGCAGAGGUCCUGGGGCUGGCCUGGCAGAGACAGAUGCCCCACUUUGCAGCCCCAAUUGGCUGUGAGUUCAGAGUCCACUGGGCCACGUCUGAGGCAGGGGACGGACGGCCCUAUCAUCCACACCAGCGGCCCAGAGGAAGAGGUGGUCCUGGAGAUAUGGGAGGCUGGCCGGCCUCCGAGCACAGCAUCUCACCUCUGCGCCGAAGUCUGGUUGCUACUGGGAGUGGGCGGGAGCUGGGAAACCUCUGGGGUAUGACUGUGGGGAGGCCUGUGGGUCUAGAAUGUGGAGCGCAGGGCUCUUCCCAGUUAAGGGAGCAGAGAGAAAGCGCCCGUAUGGCUUUCUUUGGACGGAAGCAAGGGUAGAAUCCUCUCCACUGGAAAGUGGCCGGUAGAGGUGUGGUGCCGCACAAUCAAGGAGGGGGUGUUCCACACUGGAAGUCAGCUAGUGGAGACUUCCCCAGUUGGAAGUCACUGAAAGGGUCUUAACCACACUGGGAAUCACUGAGUAGUUAGCUCAGGAAGUCAGCAUGAGGGGGCAUUUCUCAUAUUCGAGGGUUGGGAAGACGGGUUUUUCUUAAACCGGAAGUCAGUGAGAGGGGGAUUUCGCCUUAUCACCAGACGGUGAGAAGGAAUGGCCAGGAGAUCAGUGAGAGGGGCCUUUCCUACAACAGGAAGUUGGCUAGAGCCCUUCCCGUCCCCGGAGGUGGGAGAUCCAGGUUUCCCACACCGGAAGUAGGUGUGAGUCAUUUUUCCCACUGGAAGUCAUUGAGAAGGACUGUCUACACCAGGAAAUCUGAGAAAGCUGGGAAGAAAGCAGAUCUUGGGUUCAGGAUUGGCAGGGGGAAGAAGUGGGAAGCAACAAAUGAACCCUAGGGGCCCACAGGGUCCCACAGCCCCUCAGGCCAGCCAGAAAUUCAUCCCUGGCUCCCUGUCCUCUUCGCACCCACGGCCCAACCCCAGUGUGCCUCCCCCAGAGCCCGCCAGCCGCUAAGCCAGGGCCACACCUGGGGGUGACUUUAUGCCUCACCUCCAGUAGGCACUUUGGUCUCUUUGGGCUAAUCUCUGGCUCCCUUGCACUAACUCUUGCUCUCACCCAGCUAAUCCCUGCCUGCCCUGGCUGCCCCAGGGGGGCUGACCACUAACAACCAACCUUGCCCAUCUGGGGGCUCCAGGCUCCUGGCCUGGCUCUGACCUGCUCUUAAUUAACCUCUCCUUCACCUGACUAACUCCUGCCCUCCUGAUCUGUUCCUUUCAGCAGAAACUAACGGCUUGUGGAUUUCUUUUUGACUAACAACAGGUCUAACACUCCUCGUAACUAUUACUAUUAACAGCUUGGAUGUCGGCAUGGCUGGGACUGGGCUAACACAGGUUUGGACUUAACUAACACAGGGAGAGGUGGAGGUAGUGGUGUCGGACGUGGCGACUGCUCUGGGGAAGAGCCAUGUGAGGCCAGUAAAGAUCUCAGUACUCUAAAGGAGGUGCCAGGGCUGGGGUGAGGCUCAGGCCAAAUGGAGGAGUGGUGUCUGCCGAGGUGGGCUCAGAAGCAUAGUCAACUUUCAGGGUUUUGCCACGGGACAUAGCCUAUUAACCCCUUAUAAUCUGCAUCUGAGUUUUGGUUCUUUUAAAUAAUAGCCUGAUAGUUGUAAUAGUCCAAACACGUGGAUGCAGCUUUUGUAUCCCUAAAAAUGCCUAUGCCUGUCUGGUGUGUACAGAGGAUAUGCCUUUGUGUAUGGACUCAUCAGUCACCAGGCCAGGGCCUAGAGUCCUUGAUUUAGGGACUUUCGAGUUUUGGAAGCCCUAGGACAUAAAACUUUAGAUUGAGAUAGUCAGAAGGGUUAUAAAUCCAUCACCCAUUUACACGUUGGUAUAAAUUAGCUCAGCUUCCUUUUCUAAUUUCUAUGCAAUUUAGCUGCCCUGAGAUGAGAGUUUGGCCAGAAGGGAGUUUUGAUGUCUGCAGGGCUGGGGGAGGGUCCUUUGGGAGCAGAGAGGAGAAGCUAGGAGGCUAGGGAUUCCUGGGUGUGGGUAAGAGGGGGCACCAGGUCGAGGAGGGUGGGAAGAGGGACCAGUUUUACUGGCUCAGUCUGGGAGUAAGGGUCUGUGGGUGAGGACAGCUCAUGGGAGGGCCUGGAGGAUUGGAUCAGCUCAGGGGCAGGGUCAGAGGCCUGCCUAGUGGCCUUGUAGGCAGGUGGCUCAGGUCAUUGAAUACUGCUCUGGGGUUGAGAGCCUCGCUGUCAGCCAGGGACUCAGAGCUAAUCUAGUGGAGCUGGCGGUGAGGCCUGAAGGGUGAUCCAGAGGCCUGAGCUGCAAAGGCAAGAAGAGGUGAUGCAUCAAGAAGAGCUUGGAGGAGGUGGCUUGGCUGCUGGCGAGGCGGGGAUGGGGCCUGCAUCAGGGAAGCAGGUGCCUGUUGCCCUCUUGUGGCCACCUUGCUCCACUGCACACAAAGCAAGAGGCUCAGAAACAUUUCUCAGAGUCCUGCUUAUAUUAAGUUCUGAGCAAAUUUUAGAAAACUGGUUAGAACUUCUUGAAAGGAGGACCAUCCUUAGGUCCAUCUUAAGAGAAAUAAGACCUAGAAACGCUUUCCCCGGUUGGAGGUAGUUAUGCAAUGACUGGAAAGCAGAGGGGGCCGUGUACCUGCCAGGCAGGUGACAGCAAUGUCUUGGGAAAAGGGCCAACUGAAAAGCACAUCACUCCAGACCCCCAGUGAUGCUCCGCUCCAGGAAGACAUCCGAGGGCACGUGGGCAUGGGCUGGAAGUCUACAAGAGAAUCUCACUAGAGAGGAAGCCCUGUAGUCCUGUAUGGCUGCAAGGGGGCCAUGCAGGCACGGAGAGCUUCUGAGAGGCUGGUCCUGACCCCAGGAAGGCAAAAAUGUGUCUUGUUGGGUAACAAACCUUCUGGAGGCAGAAGGAAUGGGACUAGCCCACCUUUGAGACUUAUGAUGGUGGUGGGAGUCUCAGAUUCUGUGUGUGUGUUUGUGUGUGUGUGUGUGUGUGUGUGUUCAUGUUCUUGACUUAAUACCUGUGUAGGCAACUCUCCUCCCCCUAACCCCGGCCCCGGGCCUGCUGAUGCUCACCCUGGCCUUGACGCCACUGAACAUCAAGUCAUUAGGAGCAGGACCUCAUGGGCUGGGAAGCUGGCCUCCCGGUAGAAAGAGGCGGUUCAGUCUUUUAAUAGGCAGCAUGGAGGGAGGGGCCACUGUGGUCCCUGCCUGAGGGCUGUGCUUGAGUAGAUGGGGACAUACUGAGCUGGAGGGAUGCCUGGUGGGGGAGACUGGUUACAUCCCAAAGACCCCAAAGGCCCUCUUGAGAGUUUAUCCAGGGACCCACUGUUUUACUUUAAGACUGCAGAAGACAUUUUCCAUGUCCUUGCCUCCUGGGGAUGGAAAUUCUGCUGUAGAUUAAAAAUAUUUUUACAUGGAUCCGGCCAUGGAGUGUGAACUGGGCAUUGUGUUUUCACUCAUGAAUGGAGCUUCUCUUGUUUAAAAUACCAUUUUGAGAUUAGAAACCAAUUCACACCCAAGGAAUGGCUGUAGUUCAGGAGGCAGAGGGAUGUGUAAUUUGGGGGAGUGGGGAACCAGUGGCAUACUCAAGGAACAGGAGUGGGCUCUCCCACUCUCUGCUCAAGACCAUGAUCUUUGAAGUCACUACAACUGGGUAUUUAUAAUUGUAGGAAAAUACACAUAAAAUCUACUGUCUGCACCAUUUAAAAAUACACAGUUCAGUGGUAUUAAGUACGUUCUCAUUGUUGUGUAACCAUCAUUACUAUUGCUGUAUUUUUAAAUAGCACUACUUUGUGCCCAGUGCAUCACAGAAAAUCCAUGUCUCUUCUCCGCUUCUC